rnacentral:lncRNA from 1 species
GUUUAACUCAUUCGGUAUAUUGAUAUUUGUCUUUAUUGACAUGGGGACGUGUAGUAAUGACAUGAACUGGUGAGUAUUCUCUUGAUUUUGCAAUACCACCUAGGGAUAGGGGUAGGACGAUCAAUUGCGCUAACUUUUGUUUAUAAUUCGGUAUUAAUUACCAGGGGAGGCUAGGGAUAGCAAGCCAGUAGUUAAUAUUAGGCCCUUUUCGCCGAGGGAUCGGGUUAAGGGGAGGCUAAGAAAGUCGCAUAACAAUUAAUCAAUCUAAUAUUCAAGGGUAAUAUGUAAGAGAGAGCGGAAUAGAUGAAAUUGUAAACCCCCAACAACAUCCACUCCUCC